GGCAAGGUGGCCGAGUGGUUAAGGCGUCAGGUUUAGGUAUUGAUCCCUGAUUUCGUAAGAUUCCCGCGUUCGAAUCGCGGCCUUGUCA
rnacentral:tRNA from 1 species